rnacentral:rRNA from 1 species
GAUGAACGCUGGCGGCGUGCCUAAUACAUGCAAGUCGAGCGAACGGACGAGAAGCUUGCUUCUCUGAUGUUAGCGGCGGACGGGUGAGUAACACGUGGAUAACCUACCUAUAAGACUGGGAUAACUUCGGGAAACCGGAGCUAAUACCGGAUGAUAUUUUGAACCGCAUGGUUCAAAAGUGAAAGACGGUCUUGCUGUCACUUAUAGAUGGAUCCGCGCUGCAUUAGCUAGUUGGGAAGGUAACGGCUUACCAAGGCAACGAUGCAUAGCCGACCUGAGAGGGUGAUCGGCCACCCUGGAACUGAGCCACGGUCCAGACUCCUACGGGAGGCAGCAGUAGGGAAUCUUCCGCAGUGGGCGAGAGCCUGACGGAGCAACGCCGCGUGAGUGAUGAAGGUCUUCGGAUCGUAAAACUCUGUUAUUAGGGAAGAACAUAUGUGUAAGUAACUGUGCACAUCUUGACGGUACCUAAUCAGAAAGCCACGGCUAACUACGUG